rnacentral:rRNA from 1 species
CCCCUAGAUGUUCUGGGCCGCACGCGCGCUACACUGAACAGUUCAACAAGUCUUAACCUUGGCCGAUAGGUCUGGGUAAUCUUUGAACGCUGUUCGUGAUUGGGAUAGACCUUUGCAAUUAUGGGUCUUCAACGAGGAAUUCCUAGUAAACGCAAGUCAUCAGCUUGCAUUGAUUACGUCCCUGCCCUUUGUACACACCGCCCGUCGCACCUACCGAUUGCAUGGUCCGGUGAAAUCUCGGGACGGCGGCUUGGUCGCUUGCGUCCGACUGCUGAAACUUGAUUAAACCAUAUCAUUUAGAGGAAGGUGAAGUCGUAACA